UACGUAGGGUGCAAGCGUUGUCCGGAAUUAUUGGGCGUAAAGAGCUCGUAGGCGGUCUGUCGCGUCUGCUGUGAAAACUCAGGGCUUAACCCUGAGCUUGCAGUGGGUACGGGCAGACUAGAGUGCGGUAGGGGAGACUGGAAUUCCUGGUGUAGCCGGUGAAAUGACGCAGACUAUCAGGAGGAACACCGGUGGACGAAGGCGGGGAUCUCUGGGGCC
rnacentral:rRNA from 1 species